AAUUUGGUUAGGCUUGAAGUUGAAGAUGGGCAACUAAUGGGCAAUACAAGUGAAGCUACUCAAAAUGUUAAUGAUUUGGUUAGGCUUGAAGUUGUUGAUGUUGAUAAUAUGGAUGAUGAUGAAGAUGAUGAGGAAGACGAAUGAAAGAAGCAAUGGCUCGAAGAAGAAAGUUAAAUAUUCGACAUCGAGCAA